rnacentral:misc_RNA from 1 species
GUAGGUGAACCUGCGGAGGGAUCAUUACCAGUGACCCCCGGCUUCGGCCGGGGAUGAUCAUAACCCUUUGCUGUCCGACUCUGUUGCCUCCGGGGCGACCCUGCCUCCGGGCGGGGGCCCCGGGUGGACACAUUCAAACUCUUGCGUAACUUUGCAGUCUGAGUAAAUUUAAUUAAUAAAUUAAAACUUUCAACAACGGAUCUCUUGGUUCUG